rnacentral:misc_RNA from 1 species
AUAGAACGCCCUCAUCAUUUGCCCCAUUGAACCAGCUUGCGUUGCCAGAUAUAUAGCUGCAACUAAUUCGCAAUUGCAACAAGGGCGGUGAAGAAUCUCGCUCCUCUGCGACGGUCGUGCCCUCACAGCAACACUCAAACGAAUGUCUCAGCGACCGACGCAUGGUCAGGAUGAAGGGGCACCCGGGGCGCGGCAAUGAUGCCGCUUACGCAUUGUCGAUCUCGGGAUCCGUGGUUCGGUCACGAGAAGGAUGUUGGCGCCACAAAGCGAAGCGGCCUAUCUGGUCGUCCGUGAAGAAUUCUCAAGUC